CAUCAUUGAGUGGUGACAAUAACAAUAGGGAUUUUGAGUUGAUUGAAUGGAUUUGGUACCCUAACAGUUAUGAAGAGUUCCUGCGGGUUAUCAGUGUUUUUCUUUCUUUUGAGGAAAUUGAAAAUCAAAUAUUUUGAUUUGGGAUAUGGAAGUAGAUGAAAUUGAAGGAAAACGAAUUGGACAGAAAGAGAAAAUCAAUGAAAUUGAAAAACCCUUUUAGGUUAUUGAAUUUUUCAGGGGAUAUGAAACUGGAAAGCAAUUGAAUAUACUAACAUUAAUAGUUUAGAGGGGAAAGAGUGAAAUUGGAAAAUCCUUUUAAUUUCUUGAGAUAUGGAGGUAGAGAAAAUUGAAAGAAAAUGAAUUUGGGAAUUAAAAGGAAAAGAGGAAGAAGAUGAGAUCCGAAAUUGAGAAAAAAGGAAGAAGAUGAGAUCUGAAAUUGCGAAAAGAAAAAAACUAAGGGAAAGAGAGAGAAAGGGAAGAUGGGUUAAAAUGAAAUUUGUGUUAUAGCAUAGAUCAAGUUAUAAAGGAAAUGGGUUAAACGGUGGGGAACUUAAUUUGACGACACAUAGUAAAUUUGGUAUUUAAAAUUUAUAAAAAAUUGGCUAAUAAAAUAUGACGUGUUGUUGUUAUAUAUGACCUCUAUACCCAAUUAACCCGUGGCAUGAAUAAGCCAUAGUCAUAACGAUCAUAGCAAAAGUGGUACCUAAUUUAUCUGCUAUCAACGACAAAUAAAUGAGAAAUUGCCAAGAGAAAUAUAUUCGUAAAAAGGAAAAAUAACUACAAUAAAAUAGUGCACUAAUCAAAGUACAAGAGACAAAUAGAUAGUAAAAAAAUCGAAGGACAAGAAACUAUAGGAGAAAUACUAGGGCUACCGCUAUGGAAGGAUAUGCAAGAGAAUAUUCUACUACCUAUUAACCUUCUAACCUAAUUCUUGUCUUCCACAACCUUCUAUCUAAGGUUCUGUCUAAUCACCUCUCCCCAAUACUUCUUCGGUCUAAUUCUAUCUAUCCUGAAACCAUUCAUAACCCCUCACACUUUUACAUGGGCAUCUGUGCAUUUCCUCUUCAUAUGCUUAAACCAUCACAGUCUCGCCUCUCGCAUCAUGCCCUCUAUUGAGACCACUCCUACCUUAUUUCAGACAUUCUUAAUCUAAUCUCUCAUAGUAUGCCGACACAUCCACCAAAACAUUCUCAUUUCUGCAACUUUAAUCUUGUGAACGUAAGAGUUCUUGACUAGCCAACACUCCGCCCCAUACUCUAACCACCACUCUGCAAUACUUGCCUUUGAGUUUUGAUGACAUCUUCUUAUCACACAAUACUCCAGAUGCGAGCCUACAUUUUAUCCACUCUGCACCAAUACAAUGUGUGACAUUAUCAUCACUUUGUCCAUUCCUUGGAUAAUAGACCCAAGAUACUUGAAUCUUCCUUUCUUUUGAUUGACAUGUGCAUCAAGCCUCACUUCUACUCCACCCUUACAUUAACAUAGCAAUAAAUUGAAGCAGUUCAAUUUAAAAUCUUACGGUAAUUAGUGCAGAUUUUAGAGUGUUUUUCUAUUUCAAAAAAAAAGAUUUUAGAGUGUUUACACACUCAUAAAUCCUAAUCGUAACUUAUCACAAGUGAAAGAAUGUUGUAAAAGAAAAACCCUAAAUUCUCUGACACAAUUAAAUAUAUGUAAACCCCUUUAAAAUCUUCCUGACUUGAUGUGAUACAGUAAAUUUUUAUAAUAAUACAACAAAUUUUGUGUCUAGUUGAUUUGGAGCACAUUCCACUUGUGAAAAAGGUAAAACUUGAAAAUGCAACAUUUUGCUAAGUACUAUCUUCUAUUUUACUUUAUGGUUUGAUUUGGAAUACAUUUCAAUGGUGAAAAAGGUAAACAUCUAAUCAAGGAAAAUGCUAUAGUAGCCUUGAAUUGUUAAUUGCCAUUUAGUAUUUCCAAACCAACAAAACAAAGCAUUUGGCUUGUGUAAAUGCUCUUUGUUUUCCCAGAACUCCACUGUUUUAGAAAUUUUUUUCAUAAAUAAAUCAAUGUGCUUCUUCAGGUCAAUUGAUUUUAUAGUUCCUCAAAUACAAAAUAGAUGAAAACUUUUCUGAACUGCUUUUUUGUUUUGUACUUACACCUUGAAUUUUGUUUUCCUGGAGUCGAAGAAAUCCUAAACUUUCUUCUUCUUUAUUCAAAUUGUAAAUGACUAUGUGACCAUUUCCUAGUUCCAAAUAGCCCAGGCCUAAGUGCAAAUAUAGUAGGAUAAUCUGUGUAUAAUAGACCCUUCUGACCAUUCCCCGGACCUCGCGCAUAGCGACAGCUUAGUGUACCGAGUGCCCUUCUUAAAGAGUUUAUAUCCUAGAUGCGCCCAUCUAAUAAGUCAUAUAUAAAAUGCAUUAUCUUGACCUUAAAGGGAGAUUAAAAAAAAAGAAGGUACCAAAAGUUUCAUCUUUAUUGCUAGUAACUAUGUUUUUCCCUAUGGCCUAAACACAAUUUGCUGUGAACCAAGCUAACUUAGUAAGGGCCUAUGAGUUAGAAGUGGUGAAAAAGAUUGGGCCGAGUAAAAUGUUGGAGCAUUUUAUUUGGGAAUCAGACCCAAUUAGCAUCUGGUUAAAAGGGAGAAGUGGUCUGAAAGAAGGGGUUAUGCUUGUUAUGAAGAAAAUCUUUGUUCCUCUUAUCUUCUUCUAGAUCUAAGUUUCUCAUCCUCAUUCUUAUCUAUAUCCGUAGUUACUUGUUAUUUCAAAUUUUCUAUUGUAAGUCAAUAGUUUAAGUGUUGCCGUUGUAAUUUGGCUAUCAGUGAUUAUAUAAUACUUGAGUAUUUGUGUUGAGAAUUCUAAUUUGUUACAUUGGUGCUUUCCUCCAUCGGUCUCCAACAAUGGCGAUGUUUCUACCUAGAUUCAGCGGCGACGGCAACCCAGAGAGCUGGAUUUUCUGGCCGAUUUGUACUUCACAAAUCUUGGCUUCGACGAGAAUGAUUGUUUUCCACUUCCUUCAUUCUACCUUUAUGGUGAAGCCUAUUUCACAAUAAGCUAAUUUUUGAUUGGAAGCAUUUCAAGGGUAAAUUUGCUCAGUGCUUUCAACAACAAACCAACAACAAUGUAGUGGGGCGUCUAGCUAAUUCAUCACAAGUUCAUUUUUGACUGCGUUAAUUAUGUCCCUAUAGUUUCACAAUCAGCUGUGGUGUCUCCCAGUCAUUUUCCAGCAUCAUCUGCCCUUGAUUUUGCCUAUGAAACUGGUAACUCAAAGGCGGACUUUGUGCUUUAUAAAUUGCCAGAGACGUAUUAACAUGUGGAUUCCUUGGCAUUGAUUACUGGAAGUAAUACUGAGACUGAAGCUCUUAAAGACAGGUACUCACCUCAUACAGGGAAUGCAAAGUCAGUAGAGGGAGCAAAUUUGGUAUCGGGACCUUUUUUCAAUGCUGAAAACAAGGCGUUCGAUGAAAUGUCACACACAACAGUGAGCUUUGAAAUUCAUGAUCUUUAACGCUAUUGUCCAUGAGGGAGAAACUUUGCAACUACAGUGCGACGAUAGCUUCUGUGUAGAUGUCAGCUUGAAUACGAAGGUGCCUACUGCGAUGUUAGAUGAUACGAAAGAAUCUAAUACUGAGGAGGAGGACAACCCAUGAGAUAAUGUAGCUUUGUUUGACAAAUGUCCUAAACGGGAUACAUCGGGGUUUUCUGGUUCCUUUUUCUAGCCAAGGUUCUGUAAUGUUGAAUGUGAGUAUGCAAAUUACUGCAAUCGAAUAUCCAUUUAUGGUUUCUAAUGGGAUCACACUAUUCCUUGUUUGCAUUAUUCUCUUGAAGAAAUGUGUGGGGGUAAACAAACUAGAGUGCCGCCUUACCUUGACUUUAGCUUACACAAAUGCAAUUGGGUUGAUACUGGGCAGGAGUGCAAUCUUCCUUGUUUCUUGUCGUCUAACUUGAGAGGGUGUGGUAGUGAGGAGAAAAUGGAGGAAGUACUCUAGGUAAAUUGUUGUAAGUUCCUCCAAGCAGUCACCAUAUACUUGAGCUGUUAGGCUCUUGUUUGCUAUGUUUGUUCUAGUCCAUAAAGCAAGGGUGACUUCGUCGUAUAUUGUCUUUGAUCCUGGUCCUUUUCUUGAUUAUGUCACAAUCUAUGCAAUAGACUCCACUUUUGGAGAUGGAAAAUCUAUAGAGGAGAGUGCUGUAACAGUACUAUUUGAACGCCCAGGUGUGAAGUUUCCUAUUGGGCAAGUACUCUCUGUGCAAAUUGGUAUCAUUUUUCCAUUAGGAAUCUGAUGUCAUACUAUAGAUGGUUCCUUUUGUAGUCCUGUGGACAAUUGGCUCGACACUGUGCAGGAUGAUAUAGGUGGUGCAUUGAUUGCUAAUGAAUCUUUAAAUUGGUUAUACUGCAAAGUUGUAUGAUUGGGGGUGUGUCGAUGGAGUUGAAAUUGAUAUUCAAAGCUAUGGUGCUUUCAACACUUCUUUUGCAAGUUACAAACUACUAGGAGAGUUUAUAGAGAAUUCAUUGAUGUGUCUUUAUAAUGGUGUUACUACUGUUUUGGUGCAAUUCAAUGCACCAGUGGUACAAUCUGAUAUAUCUGCUAAGACGAACCGUGACAUUCUAAUUUUUUCUCUUGGACAUGAUACUUUGUUGGAUUGGAUAACAAGGCCAGGGACGGAUUCAUUAAGGGAUUUGCCACACUCUACACCUGUUGUGAAGAGUGAAGAGGAAGAUAGUGGUGAAGCGAUUGGCAAAAAGAUGAUAAUUUCUCUAGUGAGGAAAUUGGAAUAUUAUGAUGCUGCUAUACUUAAGAUUCCGACAUUUGUUCAUGUCACAACUACAGUGCGACGAUAGAUUCUGUGAAGAUGCAGUAUGGUCGUGUUGAACUCCUAUUUUGACAUACAACACUCUUUUGAUUUAUACAUUAGGAUUCUUUCUGAAGGGACAAGGACGACCACUACAAAUAGAAAUCAACAACCAUUCUUCUGUCAAACUCGUCACUACAAAGGAUUGAUUUCACCAAAUGUAUUUUUGCUGCCCAACGUUGAAAUGAUGAGGUAUCAUAUUAAAAUCUGUUUGAUCCAUUUGUGAAUCUGGUCAAAGCUAACAGUCUUGUAGAAUAUUAAGUAUCUGUUCAAACCUUAUAGUCUUGAUGAAAUAUGAUGUUUGUCAUUUAUACACAUAUAUAUAAAAAAGUAGCAUACAUGUAUAUGAUACAUAGUGACCUGAAUUAGAUACAUCGAUCUAUUUCCGAAUUAACAUAUCUGAUGCAUCCGUUUUCAGCAUACAUAUAUUGUAAUUUCGGUUUUCUUGUAUCUAUUAGUUGGAUUAGUGAAUAGUAGUGGCUGGUAUUUUUUUUGUUCUCCUACCCGGUGUCCAGCCUCACUCCCUGGGCUAUUUGAACUAGACCAUGGACAGCAGAGGAAAAUAGGCAUGGUGAUCUUCUCAACAAAUAUCUUUAUCUUUCGUAAGAGUUGAUAUGAAGCAUAUUGAAAAGACAAUCCAUUACCCAAUUGGUUCUGGGAUGGUAAGAUUUUUACCAGACCUUAUGUUAUCAUGUAGGUUUGCUGAGGUUUAUAAUAAAUAGUGCAGCUUUUAGCAAGUGUUAUCUGUCUCUGUCCAUCUGCAUUUGGCUCCAAUAAACGUUGGUUACAUUUCUUUGAGUUAUUUGUACCAGUAACUGGUUUAUGAAUGAGUGCUCUUGGAAUAUCCCAUGACUAAGUGACCAUUUCAAUGCACCAGUGGUACAAUCUGAUAUAUCUGCAAAGACGAACCGUGACAUUGUCUUUUUUUCUAUUGGACAUGAUAUUUUGUUGGAUUGGAUAGCAAGGCCAGGGACAGAUUCAUUAAGGGAUUUGUCACACUCUACACCAGGGACGGAUUCAUUAAGUGAUUUGCCACACUCUACACCUGCUGUGAAGUGUGAAGAGGAAGAUAGUGGUGAAGCGAUUGGUAAAAAGAUGAUAAUCUCUCUAGUGAGGAACUUGGAAUAUUAUGAUGCUGCUAUACUUAAGAUUCCGACAUUUGUUCAUGUCACAACUACAGUGCGACGAUAGAUUCUGUGAAGAUGUCAGUAUGGUCGUGUUGAACUCCUAUUUUGACAUACAACACUCUUUUGAUUUAUACAUUAGAAUUCUUUCUGAAGGGACAAGGACGACCACUACCAAUAGAAAUCAACAACCAUUCUUCUGUCAAACUCGUCACUACAAAGGAUUGAUUUCACCAAAUGUAUUUUUGCUGCCCAACGUUGAAAUGAUGAGGUAUCAUAUUAAAAUCUGUUUGAUCCAUUUGUGAAUCUGGUCAAAGCUAACAGUCUUGUAGAAUAUUAAGUAUCUGUUCAAACCUUAUAGUCUUGAUGAAAUAUGAUGUUUGUUCUUUAUACAUAUAUAUAUAUAUAUAUAUAUAUACACAAGUAGUUUUAUAUUUUUCCUUUAUAUUAUAUUUGUUUGUAGGAUUAUUGGUACUUGUAAAUAUGAUACAUAGUGACCUGAAUUAGAUACGCCUUCUGGGUCGAGCUCGUCGCACCAGGCUUGCCUAGUGCGGGUUACCUCUCCUAUGUGGUUUGCGAGCUAUUGCAUAGGAGCGGGGGUUUUACCCUGUGCGCACCCAAAGGGUAGCGGCUGCGGGUUUCCCUUGUCAUCAAAAAAANNNNNNNNNNNNNNNNNNNNNNNNNNNNAUCUAUUUCCGAAUUAACAUAUCUGAUGCAUCCGUUUUCAGCAUACAUAUAUUGUAAUUUCGGUUUUCUUGUAUCUAUUAGUUGGAUUAGUGAAUAGUAGUGGCUGGUAUUUUUUUUGUUCUCCUACCCGGUGUCCAGCCUCACUCCCUGGGCUAUUUGAACUAGACCAUGGACAGCAGAGGAAAAUAGGCAUGGUGAUCUUCUCAACAAAUAUCUUUAUCUUUCGUAAGAGUUGAUAUGAAGCAUAUUGAAAAGACAAUCCAUUACCCAAUUGGUUCUGGGAUGGUAAGAUUUUUACCAGACCUUAUGUUAUCAUGUAGGUUUGCUGAGGUUUAUAAUAAAUAGUGCAGCUUUUAGCAAGUGUUAUCUGUCUCUGUCCAUCUGCAUUUGGCUCCAAUAAACGUUGGUUACAUUUCUUUGAGUUAUUUGUACCAGUAACUGGUUUAUGAAUGAGUGCUCUUGGAAUAUCCCAUGACUAAGUGACCAUUUCCUAGUUCCAAAAAGCUCAGGCUAGUGCAAAUAUAGCAGAAUAAGCUAUGUAUAAUAGACCCUUCCCCGGAUUAGCACAUAGAGGAAGCCCCUUUUAAGAGUUCAUGUCCUAGAUUCAUCCAUCAAUGCACCAGUGGUACAAUCUGAUAUAUCUGCAAAGACGAACCGUGACAUUGUCUUUUUUUCUAUUGGACAUGAUAUUUUGUUGGAUUGGAUAGCAAGGCCAGGGACAGAUUCAUUAAGGGAUUUGUCACACUCUACACCAGGGACGGAUUCAUUAAGUGAUUUGCCACACUCUACACCUGCUUACCAUACCCUCAAAGUUUCUUAAUACAAAUCUAUGGAAAAUUUAAUGUUCAGAAUUGCACUCCAACACAAGUGCAUUCAUCUCUUAAUCUCUUUCCUCCAAUUUUCUAAUCCGUAGAGCCAGUCCACAUACAUAAUCUUGUGCUCUGCGUCCUUCACCAGAAAGAUGCAGUAUAAAAAGAAGUCCACUAGCACCGGAAUCUUCCUCAAAAAGAGGCAGCAAGAGUAGUAUGAGUACAAAAUCAUGCAUACUCCAUUGGCAUCAUAGGCCUACCAAGUCAGAGUUAAUAACUAUAACAUAUAAAGGGAUGUUAUAAGCUCUGCACUCAGAAAAUGUCCCUGUAGUUCAAUAUAAGAUAGUCAAUAAGAAGCAACACAAAGCAAAAGAAUAAUAAAAAUGCAACGCAAUAUAAUGCAAUGCUAAUGACCCUACUAGCAUACACUCCACAGAAAAUGUUGUGAGGUGGGACCCAUGAGGGACCCGUGAGGUCCAUAUACCCUACCUGGACUCGAACCAAGACUUUCGUCGAUUCUAUAAAUUUACUUUCAAGUCAAGCCCUUAGACCACAUUUCACCACUAUAAACAUAUUGCUUUCAAUAAAAUCUUGACAAAUCAACCCCUCAUUAGUGAUAAAAUACCCAAGUUGAGUUUGAGAAAAGUAAGCAAUAACCUACCUUGAAAGUCGAGCAACGUGCCACACAUAGACAUAUAUUUAAAGUACUUCUCUUAGUAGCAUCACAGUUCUAUUAUAAGGGAGGAAUUUUAUCCUUGAUAGCAACGCAGGAACUCUUCAUAACUGUUAGGGUACCGAAUCCCAUUAGCUCAAAAUCCCUAUUGUUAUUGUCACCACUCAAUGAUGGUCCCUCCCCCCUACUUAAUUUCACUUCUGGAGGAUCCAUUCCGGUGUUGAUGAGGUGAGAGUAGAAAUUAAAAAUGUUGAGGAGGAAAUGAAGAAUAUAUCGAAAGUUAUAUGCUUCAUUUCUUAAUCAACAUUUUUAAUCUCUACUCUCACCUCAUCAACACCGGUAUGGAUCCUCCAGAAGUGAAAUUAAGUAAGGGGGGGGGGGGGUGAGUGGUGACAAUAACAAAAGGGAUUUUGAGCUGAUGGGAUUCGGUACCCUAAUAGUUACGAAGAGUUGUUGCGGGUCAUCAGUGUUUUUCUUUCUUUUGAGAAAAUUGAAUAUCAAAAUUUUUGAUUUGGGAUAUGGAAGUAGAUGAAAUAGAACUGGAAAGAAAGAGAAUAUCAAUGAAAUAGAAAAACCCUUAUAGGUUGUUGAAUUUUUCAGGGGAUAUGAAACUGGAUAGCAAUCGAAUAUACUAACAUUAAUAGGUUAGAGGGAAAAUAAUGAAAUUGGGAAAUCUUUUUCAUUUCUUGACUUUUUUGACUUUUUUGAGAUAUGGAGGAAGAGAAAAUUGGAAAUUAAAAGGAAAAGAGGAAGAGGAUGAGAUCUGAAAAUUGAGAAAAGGGAGAAGAUGAGAUCUUAAAUUGAAGAAAAAGGGAGAAGAUGAGAUCUGAAAUUGAGAAAAACGGAGAAAGAUAAGGUCUGAAAUUGAGAAGAAAAAAAGAAGAUGAGGUCUGAAAUUGAGAAAAAAAGGAAGAAGAUGAGAUCUGAAAUUACGAAAAGAAAAAACUAAGGGAAAGAGAGAGAUAGGGAAGAUGGGUUACAAUGAAAUUUGUUUUAUAGCCUAGAUCAAGUUAUAAAGGAAAUGAGUUAAACGAUGUGGGACUUAAUAUGACGACACGUAGUAAAUUUGGUAUAUUUUUUUUUUAAAAUGGCUAAUAAAAUAUGACGUGUUGUUAGAUAUGACCUUCUAUACCCAAUUAAACCGUGGCAUGAAUAAGCCAUAGUAAUAACGAUCAUAGCAAAAGUGGUACCUAAUUUAUCUUCUAUAAAGACAUCAACAACAAUUAAAUGAGAAAUUGCCAAGAGAAAUAUAUUCCUAAAAAGGAAAAAUAACUACAAUAAAAUAGUGUGCUAAUCAAAAGUACAAAAGACAAGUAGAAAGUAAAUAAAGUCGAAGGACAAGAAACUAUAGGAGAAAUAUCAAGGCUACCGCUAGGGGUGUUCACGGGUUGGUUUGGGUAGGUUAUUGGUCAAAACUAAAAUCAAAUCAAUUUAAUUAGUUUUGAAAUUAUCAAAACCAAACCAAAUAUAAUAUACAUUUAUCGGUUUGGUUGUUUUCGGUUUUGGUUUGGUUUGGUUUGGUUCGGUUAUUUCGUUAUUAACCAUACAAGAAAAUAAAAGAAACAAUUCAUUCAAAACGUGAAAAAAUUGACAACAAUCCAUUCAAACGAAAAAAUAGUUAGAAUGACCGGCAUUACAGAACUUUGGAUCAUUAAAUUUACUGAAUAAAACUUCAAAAUUCACUAUUUUGGCAUAGAAGGAAGAGAUAAUGAUAUUUUCAGUCCUACAAUGAAUUUCCAUAGAUACUCAUAUACAUGAAACCAAUAAGAAAAAGGUUCUCACCUUGGACAUUUUUUCUUUCAUAAGUAAAUUAUAAAUAAAUUUUGAUGAAACAUAUAUAAAAUCUUUAAAAUUGUUUAUGAAUAUAAUAUAUUAUGUAUGCAUAAUAAUAAAAUUUAUGUAUAUAACUUGUUGGUUCGGUUCGGUUAUUUCUUCAAAUUUUUUCGAACAAAACCAUAACCAAACCAAAUACUAUCGGUUCUUAACAAUCUAAAACCAAACCAAACCAAAACCCAAAUUAAAUCGGUUCAUUUAAUCGGUUUGAUUUGAUUUUUCGAUUUGAAUCGGUUUUAAUCCAAACCAUGAACACCCCUAAUUAUUUCCAUUAAGUUUUUCACUUUAUUUAAGUCAGUAAUAAUACUUUUGAUACCAUGUUUGUUAUUGACAUAUCUUUAGGCAAGAAUUUUAACAAUUAUGCAUGUGACAUACACAUUCAAGCAAAUCAAUAACCUUCUAUCUAAGGUCAUGUCCUUGGUAUAUUUAUAAGGCAUAUUUUCGCAUUUAUGAGCCAACUUUUAGAAUUUACGCAACUUUCUUGGUUUUUCGUAUGUAUUAACCUAUAGUCCCGUGAUUUUUAAGGCAUAUGCUUGAACCAUCACAGUCUAGCUUCCUGCAUCGUGUCCUUUAUUAAGACCACUCCUAUCUUAUUUCGGAUAUCUUCAUUCUUAAUCGAAUCUCUCAUAGUAUUCCGACAUAUUCACCACAACAUUCUCAUUUUCUCAAUUUUAAUAUUGUGAACGUAAGAGUUCUUGACUAGCCAACACUCCGCCCAAUACUCUAACCACCACUCUGCAGAACUUGUCUUUGAGUUUUGAUGGCAUCUUCUCAUCACACAAUACUUCAGAUACGAACCUACAUUUAAUCCACUCUGCAUCAAUACGAUGUGUGACAUUAUCAUCACUUUGUCCAUUCCUUGAAUAAUAGACCCAAGAUACUUGAUCUUCCUUUCUUUUGAAUGACAUGUGCAUCAAACUUCACUUCUACUCCACCCUUAUAUUAACAUACCAAUAAAUUAAAGCACUUCAAUUUAAAAUCUUAAGGUAAAAGUGUUUACAAACUCAUAAAUCCUAAUAGUAAAUUAUCACAAGUGAAAGAAUGUUGUAAAAGAAAAACCUUAAACUCUCUAACACAAUUAAAUAUGUAUAAACCCCUUUAAAAUGUUAAAGUAGCCUUGAAUUGUUAAUUGGCUAAUUGCCAUUUAGUAAGUCAUAUAGUUCAUCCAUCUAAUAAGUCAUUUAUAUAAUGCAUAAUCUUGACUUGAAAAGGAAAAAAUAAAGAGGGUACCAAAAGGUUCAUCUUUAUUGCUAAAAACUAUGUUUUUCCCUAUGGCCUAGACACAAUUGCAAAAAGAAAAACCAAUACUCUAGUGAAUUAGCUUCAACUACCCUGCACAGACUUCAUAUCAUACCCUUAAAGUUUCUUAACAUAAAUCUAUGGCAAAUUUAAUGAUCAGAAAGUAACAUGGCAUUGCCCUCCAACACAAGUGCAUUCAUAUCUUAAUCUCUUUACCAAAAAUCCAGCUGACAGGAACGGGACUUCGCUGCUUGGCCCUUGCCUGUGCUCUCUCCUCCAAUUUUCUAAUCCUCGGAGCCAGUCCACAUACAUAAUCUUGUGCUCUGCGUCCUUCACCAGAAAGAUGCAGUAUAAAAAGAAGUCCACUAGCACCGGAAUCUUCCUCAAAAAGAGGCAGCAAGAGUUGUAUGAGUACAAAAUCAUGCGUACUCCAUAGGCAUCAUAGGCCUACCAACCAGAGUUAGUAACAAUAAUGUACAGAGGAUGUUAUUAACUGUGCACUCAGAAAAUGUCCCUGCAGUUCAGUAUAAGAUAGUCAAUAAGAAGCAACGCAAAGCAAAACAAUAAUAAAAAUGCAACGCAAUAUGAUGCAAUGCUAAUGACCCUACUAAUCCUCCAAUUUUCUAAUCCGCGGAGCCAGUCCACACACAUAAUCUUGUGCUCUGCGUCCUUCACCAGAAAGAUGCAGUAUAAAAAGAAGUCCACUAGCACCGGAAUCUUCCUCAAAAAGAGGCAGCAAGAGUUGUAUGAGUACAAAAUCAUGCGUACUCCAUAGGCAUCAUAGGCCUACCAACCAGAGUUAAUAACUAUAACGUACAGAGGAUGUUAUAAACUGUGCACUUAGAAAAUGUCCCUGCAGUUCAGUAUAAGAUAGUCAAUAAGAAGCAACGCAAAGCAAAACAAUAAUAAAAAUGCAACGCAAUAUGAUGCAAUGCUAAUGACCCUACUAACAUACACUCCACAGGAAAUGUUGUCAGGUGGGACCCAUGAGGGACUUGUGAGGUCCAUAUACCCUACCUGGACUCGAACCAAGACUUUCGUCAAUAUAGUCUGUCCGAUUCAAUAAAUUUACUUUCAAGUCAAGCCCUUAGACCACAUUUCACCACUAUAAGCAUAUUGCUUUCAAUAUAAUGUCAAUCUUGACAAAUUAACCCCUCAUAUGUGAUAAAAUACCCGAAAUUGAGUAAAACUUGGCAAUGAUGUAAUUUCAAGUCAUCACCCGAGUUAAGUAUGAGAAAAGUAAGCAAUAACCUACCUUGAAAGUCGAGUAACGUGCCACACAUAAAUGCACAGACAUAUAUUUAAAGUACUUCUUUUAGUAGCAUCACGGCUCAAUUAUAAGGGAGUAAUUUUAUCCUUGAUAGCAACGCAGGAACUCUUCAUAACUGUUAGGGUACCGAAUCCCAUCAGCUAAAAAUCCUUAUUGUUAUUGUCACCACUCAAUGAUGGUCCCUCCCCCCUACUUAAUUUCACUUCUGGAGGAUCAAUACUGGUGGUGAUGAGGUGAAAGUAGAGAUUAAAAAUGUUUAGGAGGAAAUGAAGAAUAUAUCAGAAAAUAAUUCUGUUGGAAAGUUUGAGGAAAUCACGUCGUUAGACGUAAAGGACUAUGAAGACCUGGGGUUGAUAAUAGAACUAGAGGAAUUAGGAGAAAGUAGUUUUGAAAAUUCUAGCAUAUAUUUUAAUGUACCAUAUAAGGUGUACAACACUAGCUUUUUCAAAAUUACUUAUCCCUAAUUCCUCCAAUUCUACAAUCAAUCCCAACUCCUCAUAGUCUUUCACGUCUAACGACGUGAUUUCUUCCAGCUUUUCAAUAGAACUAUUUUUUGAUAUAUCUUCACUUCCUCCUCAACAUUUUUAAUCUCUACUCUCACCUCAUCACCACCGGUAUUGAUCCUCCAGAAGUGAAAUUAAGUGGGGGCAGGGGGGAACCAUCAUUGAGUGGUGACAAUAACAAUAGGGAUUUUGAGAUGAUUGAAUGGAUUUGGUACCCUAACAGUUACGGAGAGUUGUUGCGGAUCAUCAGUGUUUUUCUUUCUUUUGAGAAAAUUGAAUAUCAAAUAUUUUGAAUUGGGAUAUGGAAGUCGAUGAAAUUGAAUUGGAAAGAAAGAGAAUAUCAAUGAAAUAGAAAAACCCUUAUAGGUUCUUGAAUUUUUCAGGGGAUAUGAAACUAGAAAUCAAUCGAAUAUACUAACGUUAAUAGUUUAAAGGGGAAAGAAUGAAAUUGGAAAAUCCUUUUCAAUUUGAGAUAUGGAGGUAGAGAAACUUGAAAGAAAAUGAAUUGGAAAUUAAAAGGAAAAGAGGAUGAGAUCUGAAAUUGAGAAAAAGGGAAGAAGAUGAGAUCUGAAAUUGAGAAAAAAGGAAGAAGAUGAGAUCUGAAAUGGAGAAAAAAAGAAGAAGAUUAGAUCUGAAAUCGGGAAAAGAAAAAAUUAAGGGAAAGAGAGAGAAAGGGAAGAUGGGCUAAAAUAAAAUUUGUGUUAUAGCAUAGAUCAAGUUAUAAAGGAAAUGAGUUAAACGGUGGGGGAUUUAAUUUGACGACACGUCGUAAAUUUGGUAUUUAAAAUUUUUAAAAAAUUGGCUAAUAAAAUAUGACGUGUUGUUAGAUAUGACAUUCUAUACCCAAUUAACCCGUGGCAUGAAUAAGCCAUAGUCAUAACGAUCAUAGCAAAAGUGGUACCUAAUUUAUCUGCUAUAAAGACAUCAACAACAAAUAAAUGAGAAACUGCCAAGAAAAAUAUAUUCCUAAAAAGGAAAAAUAACUACAAUAAAAUAGUGUGCUAAUCAAAGUACAAGAGAUAAAUAGAUAGUAAAAAACUCAAAGUUUUAAGAACUAUAGGAGAAAUACUAGGGCUACCGCUAUGGAAGGAUAUGCAAGAGAAUAUUCUACUACCUAUUAACCUUCUAACCUAAUUCUUGUCUUCCACAACUUUCUAUCUAAGGUUAUGUCUUUGGUAAGCUACGACUGCAUCAUGUUCUAUCUAAUCACCUCUCCCCAAUACUUCUUCAGUCUACCUCUAUCUAUCCUGAAACCAUUCAUAACCCCUCACACUUUUACAUGGGCAUCUGUGCAUUUCCUCUUCAUAUGCUUAAACCAUCACAGUCUCGCUUUAUGCAUCGUGUCCUCUAUUGAGAUCACUUGUACCUUAUUUCAGACAUUCUUAAUCUAAUCUCUCAUAGUAUGCCGACAUAUCCACCAAAACAUUCUCAUUUCUGCAACUUUAAUCUUGUGAACGUAAGAGUUCUUGACUAGCCAACACUCCUAGCCAUACUCUAACCACCACUCUGCAAUACUUGCCUUUGAGUUUUGAUGACAUCUUCUUAUCACACAAUACUCCAGAUGCGAGCCUACAUUUUAUCCACUCUGCACCAAUACAAUGUGUGACAUUAUCAUCACUUUGUCCAUUCCUUGGAUAAUAGACCCAAGAUACUUGAAUCUUCCUUUCUUUUGAAUGACAUGUGCAUCAAGCCUCACUUCUACUCCACCCUUAUAUUAACAUACCAAUAAAUUGAAGCACUUCAAUUUAAAAUCUUAAGGUAAUUAGUGCAGAUUUUAGAGUGUUUACACACUCACAAAUCCUAAUCGUAACUUAUCACAAGUGAAAGAAUGUUGUAAAAGAAAAACCCUCAACUCUCUGACACAAUUAAAUAUGUAUAAACCCCUUUAAAAUGUUCCCGACUUGAUGUGAUACAGUAAAUCUUUAUAAUAAUACAACAAAUUUUGUGUCAAGUUGAUUUGGAGCACAUUCCACUUGGGAAAAAGGUAAAAGUUGAAAAUGCAAUAUUUUGCUAAGUACUAUCUUCUAUUUUACUCUAUGGUUUGAUUUGGAAUACAUUUCAGAGGUGAAAAAGGUAAACAUCUAAUCAAGGAAAAUGCUAUAGUAGCCGUGAAUUGUUAAUUGCCAUUUAGUAUUUCCAAACCAACAAACAAAGCAUUUGGCUUGUGUAAAUGCUUUUUGUUCCCCUGGAACUCCACUGUUUUAGAAUUUUUUUAUAAAUAAAUCAAUGUGCUUCCAUCAGGUCAAUUGAUUUUAUAGUUCUUCAAAUACAAAAUAGAUGAUAACUUUUCUGAACUGCUUUUUUGUUUUGUACUUACACCUUGAAUUUUGUUUUCCUGGAGUCGAAGAAAUCCUAAACUUUCUUCUUCUUUAUUCAAAUUGUAAAUGACUUUGUGACCCUUUCCUAUUUCCAAAUAGCGCUGGCCUAAGUGCAAAUAUAGUAGGAUAAUUUAUGUAUAAUAGACCCUUCUGACCCUUCCCCAGACCUCACGCAUAGCGAGAGCUUAGUGCACCGGCUGUCCUUCUUAAAGAGUUUAUAUCCUAGAUGCACCCAUUUAAUAAGUCAUAUAUAAAAUGCAUUAUCUUUACUUUAAAGGGAGAUUAAAAAAAAGAAGGUACCAAAAGCUUCAUCUUUAUUGCUAGUAAAUAUGUUUUUCCCUAUGGCCUAAACACAAUUUGCUGGAACAAAGCUAACUUAGUAAGGGCCUAUGAGUUAGAAGUGGUGAAAAAGAUUGGGCUGAGUAAAAUGUUGGAGCAUUUUAUUUGGGAAUCAGACCCAAUUAGCAUCUGGUUAAAAGGGAGAAGUGGUCUGAAAGAAGGGGUUAUGCUUGUUAUGAAGAAAAUCUUUGUUCCUCUAAUCUUCUUCUAGAUCUAAGUUUCUCAUCCUCAUUCUUAUAUAUUUCCUUAGUUACUUGUUAUUUCAAAUUUUCUAUUGUAAGUCAAUAGUUUAAGUGUUGCCGUUGUAAUUUGGCUAUCAGUGAUUAUAUAAUACUUGAGUAUUUGUGUUGAGAUUUCAGGUUUGUUACAUUGGUGCUUUCAUCCAUCGGUCUCCAACAAUGGCGAUGUUUCUACCUUGAUUCAGCGGCGACGGCAUCCCAGAGAGCUGGAUUUUCAGGCCCAGUUGUACUUCACAAAUCUUGGCUUUGACGAGGAUGAUUAUUUUCCCCUUCCUUCAUUCUACCUUUAUGGUGAAGCUUAUUUCACAAUAAGCUAAUUUUUGAUUGGAAGCAUUUCAAGGGUAAAUUUGCUCAGUGGUUUCAAUAACAAACCAACAACAAUGUAGUGGGGCGUCUAGCUAAUUCAUCACAAGUUCAUUUUUGACUGCGUUAAUUAUGUCCCUAUAGUUUCACAAUCAGCUGUGGUGUCUCCCAGUCAUUUUCCAGCAUCAUCUGCCCUUGAUUUUGCUUAUGAAACUGGUAACUCAAAGGCGGACCUUGUGCUUUAUAAAUUGCCAGAGACGUAUUAACAUGUGGAUUCCUAGGCAUUGAUUACUGGAAGUAAUACUGAGACUGAAGCUCUUAAAGACAGGUACUCACCUCAUACAGGGAAUGCAAAGUCAGUAGAGGGAGCAAAUUUGGUAUCGGGACCUUUUUUCAAUGCUGAAAACAAGGCGUUCGAUGAAAUGUCACACACAACAGUGAGCUUUGAAAUUGUCCACGAGGGAGAAACUUUGCAACUACAGUGCGACGAUAGCUUCUGUGUAGAUGUCAGCUUGAAUACAAAGGUGCCUACUGCGAUGUUAGAUGAUAUGAAAGAAUCUAAUACUGAGGAGGAGGACAACCCACGAGAUAAUCUAGCUUUGUUUGACAAAAGUCCUAAAUGGGAUACAUCGGGUUUUUCUGGUUCCUUUUUCUAGCCAAGGUACUGUAAUGUUGAAUGUGAGUAUGCAAAUUGCUGUAAUCGAAUAUCCAUUCAUGGUGUCUAAUGGGAUCACACUAUUCCUUGUUUGCAUAAUUCUCUUGAAGAAAUGUGUGGGGGUAAACAAACUAGAGUGCCGCCUUACCUUGUCUUUAGCUUACACAAAUGCAAUUGGGUUGAUACUGGGCAGGAGUGCAAUCUUCCUUGUUUCUUGUCGUCUAACUCGAGAGGGUGUGGUAGUGAGAAGAAAAUGGAGGAAGUACUCCAGGUAAAUUGUUGUAAGUUCCUCCAAGCAGUCACCAUAUACUUGAGCUGUUAAGCUCUUGUUUGCUAUGUUUGUUCUAGUCCAUAAAGCAAGGGUGACUUCGUCGUAUAUUGUCUGUGAUCCUGGUCCUUAUCUUGAUUAUGUCACGAUCUAUGCAAUAGACUCUACUUUUGGAGAUGGAAAAUCCAUAGAGGGGGGGGGGGGGGGGGUAACAGUACUAUUUGAACUCCCAGGUGUGAAGUUUCUUAUUGGGCAAGUACUCUCUGUGCAAAUUGGUAUCACUUCGGACGUUUGCAAUAAACUUGGCGCUUAUGUUUGCUGUCAUUUGGGACAUGCACAUUUUUCCAUUAGGAAUCUGAUGUCAUACUAUAGAUGGUUCCUUUUGUAGUCCCGUGGACAAUUGGCUCGACACUGUGCAGGAUGAUAUAGGUGGUGCAUUGAUUGCUAAUGAAUCUUUAAAUUGGUUACACUGCAAAGUUGUAUGAUUAGGGGUUUGUCGAUGGAGUUGAAAUUGAUAUUCAAAGUUAUGGUGCUUUCAACACUUCGUUUGCAAGUUACAAACUACAGAGGAUUGAUUUCACCAAAUGUAUUUUUGCUGCCCAACGUUGAAAUGAUGAGGUAUCAUAUUAAAAUCUGUUUGAUCCAUUUGUGAAUCUGGUCAAAGCUAACAGUCUUGUAGAAUAUUAAGUAUCUGUUCAAAGCUAAUAGUCUUGAUGAAAUAUGAUGUUUGUUAUUUAUACAUAUAUAUAUAUAUAUAUAUAAAAAAAAGUAGCAUACAUUUAUAUGAUACAUAGUGACCUGAAUUAGUUACAUCUAUCUAUUUCCGAAUUAACAUAUCUGAUGCAUCCGUUUUCAGCAUACAUAUAUUGUAAUUUCGGUUUUCUUGUAUCUAUUAGUUGGAUUAGUGAAUAGUAGUGGCUGGUAUUUUUUUUGUUCUCCUACCCGGUGUCCAGCCUCACUCCCUGGGCUAUUUGAACUAGACCAUGGACAGCAGAGGAAAAUAGGCAUGGUGAUCUUCUCAACAAAUAUCUUUAUCUUUCGUAAGAGUUGAUAUGAAGCAUAUUGAAAAGACAAUCCAUUACCCAAUUGGUUCUGGGAUGGUAAGAUUUUUACCAGACCUUAUGUUAUCAUGUAGGUUUGCUGAGGUUUAUAAUAAAUAGUGCAGCUUUUAGCAAGUGUUAUCUGUCUCUGUCCAUCUGCAUUUGGCUCCAAUAAACGUUGGUUACAUUUCUUUGAGUUAUUUGUACCAGUAACUGGUUUAUGAAUGAGUGCUCUUGGAAUAUCCCAUGACUAAGUGACCAUUUCCUAGUUCCAAAAAGCUCAGGCUAGUGCAAAUAUAGCAGAAUAAGCUAUGUAUAAUAGACCCUUCCCCGGAUUAGCACAUACAAAAGGUUCAUCUUUAUUGCUAAUAACUAUGCUUUUUCCUAUGGCCUAAACACAAUUGCAAAAUUUUAUACAAAUCUAGUGAAGUAGGUUUAAACUCCACUGCACAGAUUUCAAACCAUACCCUCAAAGUUUCUUAAUACAAAUCUAUGGAAAAUUUAAUGUUCAGAAUUGCCCUCCAACACAAGUGCAUUCAUCUCUUAAUCUCUUUCCUCCAAUUUUCUAAUCCGCGGAGCCAGUCCACAUACAUAAUCUUGUGCUCUGCAUCCUUCACCAGAAAGAUGCAGUAUAAAAAGAAGUCCACUAGCACCGGAAUCUUCCUCAAAAAGAGGCAGCCAGAGUAGUAUGAGUACAAAAUCAUGCGUACUCCAUAGGCAUCAUAGGCCUACCAACCAGAGUUAGUAACAAUAAUGUACAGAGGAUGUUAUUAACUGUGCACUCAGAAAAUGUCCCUGCAGUUCAGUAUAAGAUAGUCAAUAAGAAGCAACGCAAAGCAAAACAAUAAUAAAAAUGCAACGCAAUAUGAUGCAAUGCUAAUGACCCUACUAACAUACACUCCACAGGAAAUGUUGUCAGGUGGGACCCAUGAGGGACUUGUGAGGUCCAUAUACCCUACCUGGACUCGAACCAAGACUUUCGUCAAUAUAGUCUGUCCGAUUCAAUAAAUUUACUUCAAGUCAAGCCCUUAGACCACAUUUCACCACUAUAAACAUAUUGCUUUCAAUAAAAUCUUGACAAAUCAACCCCUCAUAAGUGAAAAUACCCGAGUUGAGUUAGAGAAAAGUAAGCAAUAACCUACCUUGAAAGUCGAGCAACGUGCCACACAUAAAUGCACAUAGACAUAUAUUUAAAGUACUUCUCUUAGUAGCAUCACAGUUCUAUUAUAAGGGAGGAAUUUUAUCCUUGAUAGCAACGCAGGAACUCUUCAUAACUGUUAGGGUACCGAAUCCCAUCAGCUAAAAAUCCUUAUUGUUAUUGUCACCACUCAAUGAUGGUCCCUCCCCCCUACUUAAUUUCACUUCUGGAGGAUCAAUACUGGUGGUGAUGAGGUGAAAGUAGAGAUUAAAAAUGUUUAGGAGGAAAUGAAGAAUAUAUCAGAAAAUAGUUACGAAGAGUUGCUGCGGGUCAUUAGUGCUUUUCUUUCUUUUGAGAAAAUUGAAUAUCAAAAUUUUUGAUUCGGGAUAUGGAAGUAGAUGAAAUUGAAUUGGAAAGAAAGAGAAUAUCAUUGAAAUAGAAAAAUCCUUAUAGGUUCUUGAAUUUUUCAGGGGAUAUGAAACUGGAUAGCAAUCGAAUAUACUAACAUUAAUAGGUUAGAGGGAAAAUAAUGAAAUUGGGAAAUCUUUUUCAUUUCUUGACUUUUUUGAGAUAUGGAGGUAGAGAAAAUUGGAAAUUAAAAGGAAAAGAGGAAGAGGAUGAGAUCUGAAAUUGAGAAAAAGGGAAGAAGAUGAGAUCUGAAAUUGAGAAAAACGGAAAAAGAUGAGGUCUGAAAUUGAGAAGAAAAAAAGAAGAUGAGGUCUGAAAUUGAGAAAAAUGGAAGAAGAUGAGAUCUGAAAUU
rnacentral:lncRNA from 1 species